rnacentral:misc_RNA from 1 species
UCCGGCUUAUCACCGGCGGUUUCCUUAGAGUGCCCAACUAAAUGAUGGCAACUAAGGACGAGGGUUGCGCUCGUUGCGGGACUUAACCAAACAUCUCACGACACGAGCUGACGACGGCCAUGCAGCACCUGUCACCUUGUUCAAUAAAGCACUCUCGCCUUUCGGCAAAAUUCAAGGGAUGUCAAGUCCUGGUAAGGUUCUUCGGUUUGCGUCGAAUUAAAGAACAUGCUCCACCGCUUGUGCGGCUCCCCGUCAAUUCCUUUAUGUUUUAGUCUUGCGACCGUACUCCACAGGCGGGAUACUUAACGCGUUAGCUUCGCUAGUGAAGGGGUCGAUACCUCCAACAGCUAGUAUCCAUCGUUUACGGCGUGGACUAC